ensembl:lncRNA
UAGGCAUUAAAGCAUACAUGUGAAUUUGUUUGCCUUCUUGUAUGCAUAUAGGGCAUGCAUGAACACAUCUGCAAUCUCCAAAGAAUUCAUUUCGGUAGAUCAAUGCGUGGAUGGUUGCAUGCAUACAUGUUUUCACAGAGCAGAUGCAACUAUGUUCCCCAUGUGUAUUGCGUAUUUACAGAAGCACAAAGAGUCCUCUGAGGAUCCCGACCAAUCACUUUGCCUCUGUGUGAUGGCACACCUCCUGUCUGUGUUAUAAAUAGAGAAUAGAUGCAUCAAUUCCCUCGGGUCAAACAGCUCAAGUUCAAAAACUUCAUCUGGCUGUUUUGACAGAAGGGAAAAGGCACACUCCACAAAGACAGACGGUAGCUGGUAAACAGUGUAACCCUGCUAUUACAGAGUCACGUUAUAAUGUGUUAACUGCAUAAUGAAGGGUAAAAUGCACGUUUAUAGUUCUGACUGUUAUGCAGCCAGCAGCAUCCUGACCAAUCAUCGAUUUCACAUUGAAAUAUUAAUAGCAUUAUUUAUUCCUGCACAGAGAAACAUGGAAGGUUUAUAAAUUAUACAGAAAAUCUAAAAAAAAAAAAAAAGCUAUGGAAAAGUUUGAAGUCUGUUAUGUGUGUUUCCAUCAUUUCUACAUGAAACUAGCGCCGCUUUGUGGUACAUAUGUGAACUGCAACUACUUACAGCACUGAAGCAGAAAUCCAGUAUGGAUGUGUGCAGUAACACUGCAGCACAGGAUGGACAGCAGCAGAAGAAGCCGAACAUCUUUAUGCAAACCAAACAGCCACAUUUAUGCAAAUAAAGGAAACCUUUGUUCUAAAUGCACAUGUGCAAAAUUCCAGAUAUUUCCCUGUACAAACCCCACCAGUCAUGAUCUGAACAUACACACUGUCUUUGCAACUAUUAUGUCAACAUAUGUAUUUAAAUACAGAGAGAUUCCUCCAAUCCACAAUUUUUUCAAAAAAAAAUAAGAUGAAGGAAAAUGAAUAAAUGGAUGGAUGAAUGAAGAAAUGUAAAAAAACAAACAAACAAAAAAACAACCAAAAAAAUCAACCAAAAAAAAACAAACACAUCAGAAGUAGUGGAAUAUAGCUGGUCUAGGUACUGGUAAUUUGAUAAAAUCUUUGGGGCUUUUUGGCUUCUUCAGCCAGAGCAAAGACACACAUGCUUGAGCGACUGGUGAUUUUAAAUUUGUUAUAGGUGUGAAAACCCGCCUUAUGACACCUGA